GCUGGGCAUGGUGGCACAUGCCUGUAAUCCCAGUGUUUUGGGAGGCUGAGGCAGGAGGAUUGGGAGUUCAAAACCAGCCUCAG
rnacentral:sRNA from 1 species